GUGUCCCUGGGUUGCUCUGGGAAGGUCCGGGAUCCUGCAGAGAGCUCCAGGGUGCUCCGGGAUGCUUUGGGAAGGUCCGGGAUCCUCCAGGGAACUC